AUGGCCCAGCGUGUAACACACCGUUGUAGGCUUUCCUAUGAUACAGCCUCUAACAAAAUUCGGUGUCCUGAGUCCCUGGCAAUAGAAUUGUUUACUUUUAUGCCAAGAUGGUCUGGAAGGCACUGAAAUCUGCAUGUGGUGUGUGCCCAGGCAGAAUCCGCAGUUCUUAUGAGGUUGUCUAAAAUGAAAACACACAUCAGCAAGGCCCAUGGUGGUCCCGCACGUGCUGAAUGUGUCUGGGAAAGGAGUCGAUGUGCUUUCCUUAUGGUGGAGCAGGAAAUUGUUGGGAAAGUGUUGAAGGCACAACAAGCACAGCGU
rnacentral:lncRNA from 1 species